GAUGAACGCUGGCGGCGUGCCUAAUACAUGCAAGUCGAGCGAACAGACGAGGAGCUUGCUCCUCUGACGUUAGCGGCGGACGGGUGAGUAACACGUGGAUAACCUACCUAUAAGACUGGGAUAACUUCGGGAAACCGGAGCUAAUACCGGAUAAUAUUUUGAACCGCAUGGUUCAAUAGUGAAAGACGGUUUUGCUGUCACUUAUAGAUGGAUCCGCGCGGCAUUAGCUAGUUGGUAAGGUAACGGCUUACCAAGGCAACGAUGUAUAGCCGACCUGAGAGGGUGAUCGGCCACACUGACACGAAGCCGCGCACCAGACCCCUGCGGGAGUGACCGGUGGGGAACCGUCAGCAGUGCGUGCAGGCCAUAAACAAGACCGCGCAGUGAAGGUGGAGGGUGUCCGCAUCAUAAAACUCUGUUAUCAGAGAACAACAUAGGUGUAAGUACAUUUCCACAUCUUGACGGUACCUAAUCAAAAGGCCGCGCAUACCUUGUUC
rnacentral:rRNA from 1 species